rnacentral:rRNA from 1 species
GACGAACGCUGGCGGCGUGCUUAACACAUGCAAGUCGAACGGAAAGGCCCUGCUUUUGUGGGGUGCUCGAGUGGCGAACGGGUGAGUAACACGUGAGUAACCUGCCCUUGACUUUGGGAUAACUUCAGGAAACUGGGGCUAAUACCGGAUAGGAGCUCCUGCUGCAUGGUGGGGGUUGGAAAGUUUCGGCGGUUGGGGAUGGACUCGCGGCUUAUCAGCUUGUUGGUGGGGUAGUGGCUUACCAAGGCUUUGACGGGUAGCCAGCCUGAGAGGGUGACCGGACACAUUGGGACUGAGAUACGGCCCAGACUCCUACGGGAGGCAGCAGUGGGGAAUAUUGCACAAUGGGCGGAAGCCUGAUGCAGCAACGCCGCGUGCGGGAUGACGGCCUUCGGGUUGUAAACCGCUUUCGCCUGUGACGAAGCGUGAGUGACGGUAAUGGGUAAAGAAGCACCGGCUAACUACGUG